GUGACAGCCGCCGCGGUAAUACGGAGGAUGCAAGCGUUAUCCGGAUUCAUUGGGUUUAAAGGGUGCGUAGGCGGCUUUUUAAGUCAGUGGUGAAAUCCUGCCGCUUAACGGUAGAAUUGCCAUUGAUACUGAAGAGCUUGAGUACAUUUGAGGUAAGCGGAAUGUGUAGUGUAGCGGUGAAAUGCUUAGAUAUUACGCAGAACACCAAUUGCGAAGGCAGCUUACUAAACUGUAACUGACGCUGAUGCACGAAAGCGUGGGGAGCGAACAGGAUUAGAAACCCGGGUAGUCC
rnacentral:rRNA from 1 species